UACAGAGGUGGCAAGCGUUGUUCGGAAUUACUGGGCGUAAAGGGCGCGUAGGCGGCUCGACAAGUCCCGCGUGAAAGCCCCCGGCUCAACUGGGGAACUGCGCGGGAAACUGUCGGACUUGAGUUCGGGAGAGGGAAGCGGAAUUCCGGGUGUAGCGGUGAAAUGCGUAGAUAUCCGGAGGAACACCGGUGGCGAAAGGCGGCUUCCUGGACCGACACUGACGCUGAGGCGCGAAAGCUAGGGGAGCAAACGGG
rnacentral:rRNA from 1 species